rnacentral:rRNA from 1 species
AUUGAACGCUGGCGGCAGGCUUAACACAUGCAAGUCGAGCGGGGUGAUGGUGCUUGCACUAUCACUUAGCGGCGGACGGGUGAGUAAUGCUUAGGAAUCUGCCUAUUAGUGGGGGACAACAUCUCGAAAGGGAUGCUAAUACCGCAUACGUCCUACGGGAGAAAGCAGGGGAUCACUUGUGACCUUGCGCUAAUAGAUGAGCCUAAGUCGGAUUAGCUAGUUGGUGGGGUAAAGGCCUACCAAGGCGACGAUCUGUAGCGGGUCUGAGAGGAUGAUCCGCCACACUGGGACUGAGACACGGCCCAGACUCCUACGGGAGGCAGCAGUGGGGAAUAUUGGACAAUGGGGGGAACCCUGAUCCAGCCAUGCCGCGUGUGUGAAGAAGGCCUUAUGGUUGUAAAGCACUUUAAGCGAGGAGGAGG